rnacentral:rRNA from 1 species
UACGGGGGGGGCAAGCGUUGUUCGGAAUUACUGGGCGUAAAGGGCGCGUAGGCGGCCUGCUAAGUCGAACGUGAAAUCCCUGGGCUCAACCCAGGAACUGCGUCCGAUACUGGUUGGCUUGAAUCCGGCAGAGGGGGGUGGAAGUUCCACGUGUAGGCAGUGAAAUGCGUAGAGAUGUGGAGGAACACCGAUGGCGAAGGCAGCCCCCUGGGCGUAACACCUGGA